CCCCUAGGAGAUGAAGAAUUAGUCCAAUAUAUCCUCACUGGUUUGGUCAUGGAAUACAAUCCCAUUGUUUCUGCAGUGCUUGCUCGUGUGGAACCAAUUACUAUUAACGAGUUGUACUCCCAGCUGUUGAGUUUUGAGC